AGUUUGAUCCUGGCUCAGAACGAACGCUGGCGGCAUGCCUAGCACAUGCAAGUCGAACGAAGGCUUCGGCCUUAGUGGCGCACGGGUGCGUAACGCGUGGGAAUCUGCCCUUAGGUUCGGAAUAACAAUUGGAAACGACUGCUAAUACCGGAUGAUGACGUAAGUCCAAAGAUUUAUCGCCUGAGGAUGAGCCCGCGUUGGAUUAGCUAGUUGGUGGGGUAAAGGCCUACCAAGGCGACGAUCCAUAGCUGGUCUGAGAGGAUGAUCAGCCACAUUGGGACUGAGACACGGCCCAAACUCCUACGGGAGGCAGCAGUGGGGAAUAUUGGACAAUGGGCGCAAGCCUGAUCCAGCCAUGCCGCGUGAGUGAUGAAGGCCUUAGGGUUGUAAAGCUCUUUUACCCGGGAUGAUAAUGACAGUACCGGGAGAAUAAGCUCCGGCUAACUCCGUGCCAGCAGCCGCGGUAA
rnacentral:rRNA from 1 species